AGCGUAGAUGGAUGUUUAAGUCAGUUGUGAAAGUUUGCGGCUCAACCGUAAAAUUGCAGUUGAUACUGGAUAUCUUGAGUGUAGUUGAGGCAGGCGGAAUUCGUGGUGUAGCGGUGAAAUGCUUAGAUAUCACGAAGAACUCCGAUUGCGAAGGCAGCCUGCUAAGCUGCAACUGACAUUGAGGCUCGAAAGUGUGGGUAUCAAACA
rnacentral:rRNA from 1 species